ACCAACCUUAAGCUGAAAACUAAAAACAUAACAUAUUAACAGUAGAUUGUGAUCUACCAUUAACCCAUCAAAUCUUACGGUCGAGAUUUUUUCUCCAUUUUUCAUGCAAAAUGUAAUUUUAAAUUUGAUUUUCUCUUCCCCGCAACGACAACUCUCCUUUCUCCAGCUUAAGCAUACUCAACUUAAAAUUUUUAAACCCAGUUGUUGGGGAAGAAAUAAAGCUGGGCACUGAUCAAUUGAAGAAGCAAAGGUGUACAACGAAAUGUGUAGCUUAGUGCACUGAAGGUGUUCGAUGGAAUGCCUGAACUAGUUGUGCUAUCAGAAGGAGAGCUUAAUUUGGCAGACAAUGAAGGAGUUUGAAGGUGCUUGAUGAGUUCUAAUGUAAUGAUCUAGUUAUAAAUUUGGUGUCUAUGUUAUAAAAAAUGAUAUCUAUGUUCUUUAAAAAUGUAUCUGUAUUUAAAAGGUUUCUAUAUUAUAAGAUCACUAUGUAUUUAAAAAGGUAUCUAUGUUAUUUAAAAGUUUUCUAUAUUAUAAGGUCAUUAUAUAUUUAAAAAGGUAUCUAUGAAAUUUCUGGGUUGUAUUUCAACCGUCAGAUUAUCUCACUAAUCAUCAACGGCUGAGAUUUGUUGUUUUUAGUUUUCA